GGCUGGGUGCUAGGUUGGACUGGGUGAGCUUGGAGGUCUCUUCCAACCUGGUUGAUUCUGUGAUUCUAAGAUGAAGAGCAGCAACAGAUGUACAUCCCCCAAACAUCACAGCUGGCACUGCAGCACUGCCUCUGCCUAGAGAGCCCACAGCAGCGUGGGGGGGAUGUUAGGACACCAGCACACCUCUCCAGUGAAACUGGUCCCUGCCUGAAUUCCUGAAAGGUUCUAAAAUUUGACCAAAGAAAGGUCUGACCUCCUGCUGCACUCCCAAAGCUGACAUUUAUCACCUGCACUUCUGGCCCCGGGCUCUGAUCCCAUGGGUGAGCUGUGCAGGGCUGUUCUUCAGCGCCUCUCAACUGUGGGAGAUCAAAGUGUAAAGGGACCAUAUGUCAGGCCUUCCCUGGCAGAUGCCAGGAGGACAGAUCAGCCAGUAGCACACCUGAAGAGAUAGCACUCCUGCUCUCUGGUGGCUUAUUUAGCAGCUGAGACCAUCUGGUUGGUUCAAAAACUUUGAUUCCAUGAGCUUCAUUAGCCGCUCCCUUGCCCUUGAGAGGAUCCUCAGGGUUAGUCAGUAGGAAAUCACUCUUGAUUUCUUCCUGCUUGUUAACACAAUGUGACAUUUAAUUGCAGCCAGCAGAGACCUGGUUUAGUGCCGGUGGAAGUUCAGAGCUGACCUACAUUCAGAGACAGAUUUAUCCUUGCCUCCCUCCACUGCCUUUCAGAGCGAGCCCAGCACUUGAAGGGAAUCAUCUGUGGUAACCAAUGGCUCUCGUCCCUCAAACACAAGCACAGUUUGACCUGCCUGUUGAAAAGAGCUUCAGCUGGUUCAGAAAGCCUUUUGCAGGGACAGCCCAUGCUGUGUCCCUUAUCCUGAUGGCAGGACAAGGAAUAAUGGAUAUAAGCUACAACAGAGGAAGUUCCACUUCAUCAGGAGGAGAAACUUCUUUCCUGCGAGGGUGAGGGUGCUGCAGCACUGGCACAGGCUGCCCAGAGGUUGUGGAGUCUCCUUUUCUGGAGCCUUUCAAAGCCAACCUGGAUAUGUCUCUGUGUGACCUGCGCUAGGUGAGCUUGCUCUAGCAGGGGGGGACUGGGCGAGCUUUCGAGGUCCCUUCCAACCCCUACCAUUCUAUGACCUUACACAAGGUGAGAGCAGGAACCUGCUGUGUGCUGAGUGGAAAUGCCAGCUCUAGCAUGAGGACCAGUGCAGUGUCCCUGCUCAUUCUGGGGCAUUGCCACCACAGCACCAGCAGUUUUCUCUGAGUGCUGCAAGACAGCCAUGGGGGCAUCUGGGGUUUCAUCAGCAAGCCUGACAGAAAAGACAUCUUUUACUGCCAGGGAUAAGACUGAAGUGUUGAGUGUCUGCUAAUGAAAUUAACAUUUUAGCUUGGAGAGGAGAAGACUUGGGGGUGACCUCAUUAAUGUUUAUGAAUAUGUGCAGGGUGAGUGCCAGGAGGCUGGAGCCAGGCUCUGCUCAGUGAUGCCCAGUGACAGGACAAGGGGCAGUGGGUGGAAGCUGAGGCAUAGGAGGUUCCACUGAACCUGAGGAAGAAUGUUUUCCCUGUGAGGGUGACAGAGCACUGGAACAGGCUGCCCAGGGAUGUUGUGGAGUCUCCCUCUCUGGAGAUAUUGAAGAACCAUCUGGAUGUGUUCCUGUGUGAUCUGCUCUGGGUGAUCCUGCUCUGGCAGUGGGGGUGGACCAGAUGAGCUUUGGAGGUCCCUUCCAGCCCCUGACAUUCAAUGAUUCUAUGGUACCUGCUUUAAAAAGCACUUGUUACACUGACAAAGAGCAGCUGAACCUAACAAAAAUUUCCCAGGCUUUUGCACUAGAAGGGGCCACCUAUUUAAGAUGGAAUCAUCAAACCAUGACAUUCCCUUACUGAAUAAAUUCAGAGGGUUGCUGUUCUCAGCAUGAAGAUUUAAUUUCAUCAUUCUGCUUUUGCAAAGGAGUCUUGUGUAAAGAAUUGAUGACUGCAGUACAUUAAUGCUCUGCUUUAAGGGUCAUGAGAUGUUCUACAUCAACAUUAAAUUGUCUGGAACAAUGACAAA